UCUCCGUAGGUGAACCUGCGGAGGGAUCAUUACAGAGUUCAUGCCCUUCACGGGUAGAUCUCCCACCCUGUGUUAUUAUACUUUGUUGCUUUGGCAGGCCGCCCGCGUGGGCUACCGGCUCCAGCUGGUAAGUGCCUGCCAGAGGACCCCAAACUCUGAAUAUUUUAUUGUCUGAGUACUAUAUAAUAGUUUAAAACUUUCAACAACGGAUCUCUUGGUUCUG
rnacentral:misc_RNA from 1 species